GGAGGAGUGGCCGAGUGGAUUAAGGCAACGGUCUUGAAAACCGUCAACAGUGAAUAACUGUUCAAGAGUUCGAAUCUCUUCUCCUCCG
rfam:Candidatus Riesia pediculicola TSDA, complete genome.